AAAACGACUCUCGGCAACGGAUAUCUCGGCUCUCGCAUCGAUGAAGAACGUAGCGAAAUGCGAUACUUGGUGWGAAUUGCAGAAUCCCGUGAACCAUCGAGUCUUUGAACGCAAGUUGCGCCCAAAGCCUUCGGGCUGAGGGCACGUCUGCCUGGGUGUCACGC
rnacentral:rRNA from 1 species